UGAUUUCAGUAAAUAGCCUAAAUUCCCAAGAAAUUAAACUAAGAACAUGCUUUAAUAACAAGCAUGAAAAUCAUAUUAUUUAUUGAUACAGUCUAGAAUAGAUCGGCAACUAUAUGAAUUCGACUUGGAGAUCUCCUAGAUAUUUGCAAGGAAACAAGUUAAGAGGUUGCAGGUGUGGUACUUGAAAAACCAUUUUGAUACUUAAGUUAGUAUGUAAGUGAAGGUUGGGAUAAGAUGUAUAAAGGAUUGUAGUUGUGUUACCUCAUAACUGAAGUGCAAUAGGGUAUUUAUAGUACUGUCUUACAAAUGAAGCUAAACAUGAGGAGUGUGUUCAAAAAUAGGUGUAAUAGGACACGAUGUCCUAUUUUUUCAGCCAUCGUAGGAAUAUGCGUGUUGACAAAUUAGGCGAUCUUGGUAGGAGUUUAGUGUUUACAAUGUUUGGAUGUUCGGGAUGAUAGGAGGUGUGCUGAUCAUGACUGAUUUAUGAGUUCCCUAUUUAGCUAGGCAUGUAUUAGAUGUCCCCCUAUAAGGUCCGAGUUAAAGGCUCGGCUUACAUUUUGUAGGAAUGUGAACCAUCUGGGUUUUUAAUUUUCGGUAGCAACAAUUUUUGGUUUUGAAAUUUGAAAAGACCAACCGUCAGAGUCCUUUUGAAUAUUUAUGAUAGAUGUGCUGCUUGUAAUAUCUGCCUUGCUAUUAUAUACGCCCUUUGUCAUACCCAUAUUUCAUUUUUUGCUUUUAUUUUCUUUCCCUGUGUUCUUUUCGCAUCAAGCCUUCCUGCUGCUUUGGGUAUUUACUCCUAUGUUCUCUUAUGUUAUGGUGUUUACUCCGCUUUGCACUCAUAGCUUCGUUGACAGAGGUUCCAUUUCAACAGUACUUCGAGUUUCCUUAUCACAGCGUGAGAGCACUUUGCUUGUUCACUUAUCGACACAAUCCCCUUUAGCGAGAAUGAGGAAACACUCAGCCAUUUGCCAAGGUGCCUACGGGUAGAGGUAGCUUCGAUAAGUAUGAAUCAGGAUCUGGUAAUAGUUGGAUCUAUUCCUCCGCCGAGGGCUCACCCUAGAAGGGUACGUAGGCAUAAGGUAAAGGAUGGUGAGGGAGAUCUUGCAAAGAAAGCUCGUCAUAUCAAGAAUGUUUAAGACUUUCCUAGCAGUCUUCAGCCGAAGUAUUUAGCAAGUAUUAUUGAUACCUACUGCAUUCCAUCCGAGUUUGAAGUGAAUUUACCCAACUCAGCACUAUUGCUGAGCAACUACUGGCAAAAGAUAAGGUGUUGGUCUAUUUGGAGAAUUUGAAGGCAAGAUUGCAUUUUCCCUUGGAUCCACUUAUUGCCUCGAUGCUUACUGAUUACCAGAUUCCAAUAUGCCAGCUGCAUCCUAAUGGUUUAAGGAUUAUUGCUGAUGUAGAAAGAUAAAACUAACUGGUCAGAUAAUCAAGGAACUUUAUCUAAUGGUGGUUAGGCUUGGUGUUGAUCAUUUCAGCUUCCAAAGUGGCCAGCGAAUCUUAACUAACCUCCCUGACUUCAUAAAGAAUUGCAAAGAUAAAUUUAUUAUUGUUUCUCAUAAGUCUGACAGGGGUAGCAUUCCUAAUACCUAGGUAUCUUCACCAGUAGAGCCUGUGGAUGCUCCCCUUUCUAAGAAAGAGGAGGCCACUAGGGUCCACUUUUUAGGGUUGCAGCCUUUAGAUAUUAGAGAUUUCUUAAGUGUGUAUUACUUUGGGAAGCCCUACCAAAAGCAAUCUCGAAAAGAAAAAAUGUCUGGUAGCAAGUCGUCUAGAGAGCCCUCCUAAUCUCGAAAACCUCAAGGUGCUAGUAUCUUGCUUUUGUCGAGAUUACACAUUUUUAAAUCCUAGAUUAAUCAUCAUUUUUUUUUUGUUAUUGCAAAAAUGUUGAACAUGAGGAAACUAAUGGAGUAGAAAAAAACAAAUCUCAAUCUGGUGAUGAUGCUAAAGGCAUCAUGGGACCGGGCAAGGCAAGUAUGAAAGCAUCCCUACUACCUCUCGUGCUCCUCCGCCUUCAUUGGAACGAGAGAGCAGUCAGAAGCACCCAAAUAAAGAGCAUGUCGCUGCCCUUGAGCACCUCGCCAAAAAGAGUAAGUUUGCUAAUAUGGCAGAUGAAGGUGUGGAUGAGCUCGGCUACUUUCAGAACAGCUUGAUGAAGACCUUUGGGGAGGAUGCUUCUGUGCAUACCCCCCAAAGUGACCUUUGAGGUGUUUUACAACUAUAGCCUUCCUACUGACUAGGAGCGACUUCAAUCUACAGGCAAUCUGAGCUCUUGGGGGACUUGUAUGCUAUUAUGCUGGAGGUUAUUUCCCUUUUUUUAAGUAUAAAAAUAGAUGGAGUUACUUGUUCUAAGCGGGCUAUCGAUUUAUGGAAUUGAAGAUGAGGCAAUGUGAGAGGAUCUGAGCUCGAGACUCGGAGAUUACUUCUCUAAAGAAGGCGGAGGAAGACUUUAAGUCUAAGAAUGACGAGCUUACUUCUAUUCAUGCCCAUGAACUGUAAGAGAGCCUGACUCGCCAUCACUCUGAGGUAGCAGAGAGGGAUAAGCGAAUUUAUGCUCUUGAGGGCGAGCUGGUUGCUGAGCUGACUCUUUUAGAGAUGGAAAAGAAAGGUCGCUUAGAGGAUGCUAAGAAGAUGACGAAUACCUUAGUGGGAUAUAAAGCAGAGUUGAUUUUCAAGCUAUCAUGCAGGUAUCCCACAUGUGACUUCUGGUGUAUCAAUGAUAUCUAUCCUAAUGAUAAAGAUGUUGGGAAGUCUUCACAAACUGAGCCAUCGGAUGAUUCCGCCUUGCCUUCUAGAGAUGCUCCUGCUUCUGAUCCUCUUGCUUCUGCCAACCCUGAGAAUGAUAUUUUUGUUGAUGAUUCUCUUUCCAAUCUUGCCAAUGAUACUAUUGCUCAUGCUAAGUAAUGUCUUUUCUUUUUCCUUGUAUCUUAUAACUUCUAAUGGAUUAUAUAUUUUGCACAAUGCAGUGUUGAUUUUGUUUA